UGAUAGAGGCGCGGCCGACAUGAGUAACCACGGAAAAGCGACGGAAAUCGCCGGGGAGAAAGGGGACGCCGCCGAAGGGUAACGGUCUUUCCGGGCCGUUAUGCCUGGGCCGCCGGAGAAGAUUCGGCGGACUGUCGCGAAAGCGGAGCGCUGUCGG
rnacentral:ncRNA from 1 species